CGUAGGGUGCGAGCGUUAAUCGGAAUUACUGGGCGUAAAGCGUGCGCAGGCGGUUUUGUAAGACAGAUGUGAAAUCCCCGGGCUCAACCUGGGACCUGCAUUUGUGACUGCAAGGCUAGAGUACGGCAGAGGGGGAUGGAAUUCCGCGUGUAGCAGUGAAAUGCGUAGAUAUGCGGAGGAACACCGAUGGCGAAGGCAAUCCCCUGGACCUGUACUGACGCUCAUGCACGAAAGCGUGGGGAGCAAACAGGAUUAGAUACCCUGGUAGUCCACGCCCUAAACGAUGUCAACUGGUUGUUGGGUCUUUACUGACUCAGUAACGAAGCUAACGCGUGAAGUUGACCGCCUGGGGAGUACGGCCGCAAGGUUG
rnacentral:rRNA from 1 species